rnacentral:rRNA from 1 species
GUCCAGACUCCUACGGGAGGCAGCAGUGGGGAAUAUUGCACAAUGGGGGAAACCCUGAUGCAGCGACGCCGCGUGAGCGAUGAAGUAUUUCGGUAUGUAAAGCUCUAUCAGCAGGGAAGAAAAUGACGGUACCUGACUAAGAAGCCCCGGCUAACUACGUGCCAGCAGCCGCGGUAAUACGUAGGGGGCGAGCGUUAUCCGGAUUCACUGGGUGUAAAGGGAGCGUAGACGGCCAUGCAAGCCAGGGGUGAAAGCCCGGGGCCCAACCCCGGGACUGCCCUUGGAACUGCAUGGCUGGAGUGCGGGAGGGGCAGGCGGAAUUCCUGGUGUAGCGGUGAAAUGCGUAGAUAUCAGGAGGAACACCGGCGGCGAAGGCGGCCUGCUGGACUGCGACUGACGUUGAGGCUCGAAAGCGUGGAGAGCGAACAGGAUUAGAUACCCCAGUA